ensembl:lncRNA
ACUUAGUCUGAACUCAGGGGAAUGUGGGCCUGUGGUGGGCAGGAACUCUUCAGCUCUGGCCCCAGCAGGGGAAUAUGUGCAAUGAAUUUCCAUUCUGGAGAGGAUGGGAAGGCCAGGGGGAGGAGAUGACUAGAAACUCACAAGACAGUUUCUCACAGGUGUCUGGUGAGAUGUUGAUCUUUGUGAUGUGCGGGUUUCCCCCUGCUUAGCUGUGUGCCAUUCUGUCUCUAUUUCUUUUCCUCUUACGCUCUUUCUCUCCACUUUCUUUCCCAUAUAAAGAAUGCAGCAGUUACAUGAGCUGGGGCCUCAUCAGUAGCUCAUGUUCUUUCAUGCUUAAAGCAAGGAGCCUGCCAUGUAAAUGCUUGCUGCCUGGGCCAGAUGGGCUGAUGUGCUACCUCUUUACAUUGGGUUUUCCAGACUUAAUAAGGAAGCCAGCACCAAAGAUGAAGCAGUUUGAAGGCUUGGCCAUGCUAGCAGGCAAUCUCAACAAAGACCCUCAAGAGAGGUGCUCCAGAGCCUUUAGCUCUGCUGUCUGUAUUCUAUACCAAGGUGGAUUCUCCUAUUGAGCUCCCUCCGUUAAACAUCUUCAGGUUGUCCCACAACAGCUAAGCUUUCCUCUGCCACUUUUUUCUCAUUCAUUUCAGAGGGAAGGUAAAAAGGGGGAAAGAACAGUUACUAGCAGCAGUCUGACCUCCAACUACUGGUGAAACAUGGACAAGUGGUUUUGUGAAGGGUCUUGGGAGAGUCGUUGCAAGUAGUGCCAGGGCUACGUGGCCAACUCCAGCAUCAUGCUAGGACUCAAAGAGCAACUGAUGCUGUUUUCUGGGAGCUGAGGCUUUUUUUAUCAGUCGGAAGCCUCUGCCAGAUCUCCAGUGUGGCAAGGAGACUGCUUCUACUCUCUCCACAUCUGGACCUCAUUAAAUUAAUUUUGGUAAUGGCAAAAGCAACUUUAUCUUGCAUCUCCAUCGAAGAAAUGAGCCCUCUGCAUCUCCAAAUGAAGACCGAACUGCGGAAGCCUUUAUUUCUCUCACCGUGCCCCAUGACAAAUCAGCUGCAUGCCUCUUGAUCCAUUUAAUGAUGCUGCUUGUGGAGAUUUCACAGAGGCAAAAGAUUGGGAAAUAGUAGCACUGUUGCUUAUUUAUCUCACAGCAGACUCAGUGUAUUAAAUCACUGCCCCACUAAAAGCCUGUCUUUCUCCAAGACCCCUUUAUACGAGGUCAGCUUCAGCAAUUAAAAUGGCUUCUAAAUCUUUGGUUGUCAUUACAGCAUGUUUUUUUUUUUUCAAAGAAUGCCAGCAUUCAUUUUAGUGCCAUAAACAUCUUGAGUAAUUGAGUAUUUUAUCUAAACAGAAUGGGAACUGUGGAAAUUAUUUUUAGAAUUUGAGCUUUAAAUAAACAAGACACUUUU